CAACAGGGAUUGCCUCAGUAACGGCGAGUGAAGCGGCAAGAGCUCAAAUUUGAAAUCUGGCUCCUUCGGGGCCCGAGUUGUAAUUUGGAGAGGAUGCUUCGGGCGUGGCUCCCAUCUAAGUGCCCUGGAACGGGCCGUCAUAGAGGGUGAGAAUCCCGUCUGGGAUGGGUGGUCCCGCCCGUGUGAAGCUCCUUCGAAGAGUCGAGUUGUUUGGGAAUGCAGCUCUAAGAGGGUGGUAAAUUUCAUCUAAAGCUAAAUAUUGGCCGGAGACCGAUAGCGCACAAGUAGAGUGAUCGAAAGAUGAAAAGCACUUUGAAAAGAGAGUUAAACAGCACGUGAAAUUGUUGAAAGGGAAGCGUUGGCAACCAGACUCGCCCGGGAGGGCUCAGCCGGCACGUGUGCCGGUGCACUCCCCCCCGGGCGGGCCAGCGUCGGUUUGGGCGGUCGGUCAAAGGUCUCGGGAAUGUAGCACCCUCCGGGGUGCCUUAUAGCCCGAGGCGCCAUGCGACCUGCCCGGACCGAGGAACGCGCUUCGGCUCGGACGCUGGCGUAAUGGUUGUCAACGGCCCGUCUUGAAACACG
rnacentral:rRNA from 1 species